rnacentral:rRNA from 1 species
UACGUAGGGUGCAGGCGUUAAUCGGAAUUACUGGGCGUAAAGCGUGCGCAGGCGGUUUCUUAAGUCAGAUGUGAAAGCCCCGGGCUUAACCUGGGAACUGCGUUUGAAACUGGGAGACUUGAGUGUGGCAGAGGGGGGCGGAAUUCCACGUGUAGCAGUGAAAUGCGUAAAUAUGUGGAGGAACACCGAUGGCGAAGGCAGCCCCCUGGGUUAACACUGACGCUCAUGCACGAAAGCGUGGGGAGCAAACAGG